rnacentral:lncRNA from 1 species
AUGGACCAGAACACUGAGCGCUUCAUCUAUGCCGACGAUCUCUGUGUAACAUCCCAAGAGAACUCGUUUGAAGCAGUAGAAGCAAACCUCACCACAGCCCUAGAUGAGCUACUCCUCUAUUACGAGCGCAACCACCUACAUGCCAACCCUGCAAAGACCCAAGUCUGCUCCUUCCACCUCAGGAACUGUGAAGCCAACCGACCACUUAACAUCAAAUGGUCUGGAACACCACUUGAGCACUGUACCCACUCUGUCUACCUUGGAGUAACCCUGGAUCGUACUCUCACCUUUAAGGAACACAUCAAAAACACAAAAGCCAAAGUCGGUUCCCGAAACAACAUCCUACGGAAACUGACCAACUCCAAAUGGGGAGCCACAGCACACACAUUAAAAUCUACUGCUCUGGCCCUGUGCUAUUCCUCUGCAGAAUAUGAAUGCCCUGUUUGGGAGAGGUCAACCCAUGCCCAGAAACUUGACCCAGCCUUGAACAACACCUGCCGUCUGAUCACUGGCUGCUUGAAACCCACCAAUACAAGCAACCUGCACCUCCUCGCUGGCAUUGCACCUGCUGAUAUUAGACGGAAAGUUGCCAGCCGAGUCGAGAAAACAAAAGCUACUAGCGAUGAACGCCACCUCCUCCAUGGAUGUCACCCCCCGGCCCAACGGCUAAAGUCGAGAAGAAGUUUUCUCAGCCAGGUCCAGCCCCUGACAAAGUCUCGGGAAGAAACCAGAAUACAACUCUGGAUGGAAAAACUUGAGAAUGACCCACCUCCAACUGACAUGGUAAUACCCCCCACUGAAAACCUACCCCCUGGCCAAGAAGCAUCAUGGGCUCAAUGGAAAACACUCAACCGCCUUAGAACAAGAACGGGACGAUCCAAAGAUGCUCUGGUCAGAUGGGGCUACAAGACUGGCCCAACCACCUGUGAAUGUGGACAAGCAGACCAUACAAUGGAGCACUGCCUUGUCUGCCCUCUACUACCUAACCCUUGCAGCCCAAAAGACCUUGCAGUAUUCAACAAAAAUGCAAAGGACUGUGUAAAGAAAUGGGAAACUGCCAUAUAA